AAGGGAAUGCAUCCCAUCAUCUGGAUAGAGCACAGUAUAUGGAUAUUUGUUCUUGGAACAGGAUGGCAGAUUUGGUCCUUUAUCAUUCUAGAGGGGUCUUUCAGUGGGGUCCCUGUGAGAAAAAUGUCGGGGUUUAGAAAGUAUAGCUGCAGUGAAGAGUAACUGGAAUGCAACCACUGUCUGGCAAUAUCAUGGGCACCAGCACAUUUCUUGACAAAGUGCAGAGCCAGCCAUAUACAUCAGCUGAUGACAUGUAAAGGUUGUCUCCCAGGUUGAUGGAAUCACUUCUCACACCUGCAAUAUGAAUGUGCCAUAUACUUCAGCCUAUGACAGGCUGGCAACAGGAGUCAGGUUUCACUCCUUCUGAAACUGCAGGAAAGUGACGGGAUCUUAUCAGAGAAAGGGACUCUUACAUUUGUCUUGCAAAGAAGAAGGAAAGUUAUAUUGAAAAGAAUGACCAUGACAAGACUUUAAAAGGAAUGGGCUGGAUUCUUUUCUGUAUCUCUACUGGCUC